GAACACCAUUUUUAAUACUUUUGAAAAAUCAGUUUCUAUACUAUACAUCAGCUUCUAUGCAUUUUAUAGAGUUUAUUUGUAAAAUUGCUGUAGGUAAAGUGUAUUUAUCCUGUAAUUCUGUUCUCUUCAAUGGUUUCUGAAAUAAGUCUAUACUUCUUACUUCACAUGAAUAUAGCACAGGCAAAGCUUCAGCUUUUUCACCUUCAGAUAAGUUGGCAGCAUAAAUGUACACUAUAAAGUCAAUAUUACAAGGGGAUACUGGAACAGUACAGAGAUGCAAGUCUGUAGAUUUCAAAAUUUGUAGAAAGAUUGGUUUCAGGUAUUGAGCGAAACAGAUCCGUAUAAACCCAAAAUCUAAUUGGUAAACCAUAUAAAAUCUGAUUCCAAUAAAGUAAAAUAUUCUUUUAAGACCUGACACAGGCUCUUGUAAGAAAGCUAUUGUGUAAAACCUUAAUGGAAAACAUUGCAUUCUGAUAAGAGCUCUGUUGAUAACACCAGAAGUACGCCAAAGUAUAUUGAAAUGGAAAGUAAAAGGAACCAAGUGGUCAAGAGAACUCAGAGGACAUUAGUGGUCAGUCAGCACAGCUAGCAAGACGGAGCUGCUUCAUCUGCAUAUCACUCUACACAGACACAAGACCCAUUAUGUUCUUCUACACUGUAUCUGUCGUUUUCUUCUGGGCACUUCUUGCUAAUAAAUUUGCUACUGACUCUUCAGAGAACGCCUUUUCCCCGUGCAUGGAUUCUGCCAAGACUGAUGCUUACGAGAAAUUCCUGAAUAAGCAUGUACGUUCGGACACCCCAAAAACCCUUGACCAAAAUGAGUGGCAAGCUUUUAUUAGACGCAUAGGGACAUGUGAUCGACCGGUUCAGUCCUUUAUCCCCUUUGCCCAGAAACAACGAGUGGACAACAUCUGCUCUCCUUCAGGAGGUAAAACAUACAUUAAUAACCUGUGCGUCAGCAGACAGGAGUUCACCUUCACUACCGUGAACGUGGACAACAACUGUGUUGUACGCAGAGUCAUCUCAGAGACGAAGUAUCUUCUAUUGGCUUGUGAUAAGGUCCAGGGUUACUGCCUUCCAGUGCAUUUUGAACCCAAUCCAAAUAAUGAUGGACCAGACAACAAAAAUCCAGACUGCAAAAAUCCAUACCAGAACCAGGCACAGCUUGCACAUCUUAAUCUCAGCCUUCUAAUACUCACCCUGCUGUCAACAGCCUUAGCUCACUUUAUGUGAUUAUCAGAAUUAUUAACUUGUCAUAGCCUGCAGGAUUUAUACAAAAACACAAAUAUAGCCUCAUGCCAAUGUCAUUGAAACAGUAAUACUUGCUGUCACCCUUCAGUGUAAUCAAAUAUGAGUUUGUGUAUGUAACGUGAUUGACUGUAAUUAGUGCACAUUUGCUAAUGGGUAUUAACAGCAAUACUGACCUUAGAAGCCACAUUUCUGUAUUAACUCCUGGCUGAUAAUCACAGCUGUAUAAUAAUAAAUAGGGUUACUAUAUGCAGUCAACUCUCUAUGCUUACUAGAUAUGACAGAACUGUUGCCAUUUAUUUCUUAAUCAGCAAAUUAGUCACGGGAGCUUGUGCAUGUUUAUUUUAUAUCAGGUUUUUUUGUCUAACACUUUGACUUACUUGUUUGUCUUACUAAUACUUGUGCAAACAAACAUGCCUAUGUAAUAUGCUACAAACACUGUAAUACUGUUUUAUAAUAUAUUUUAUUAACAAAUUGCUGGCAAUGCAUUAUACUGUACAAUACAGAAAAGCAGAAACACAGAGGGAACAAAUAUUAAGAUGUAUGUACUUUCAGUCUUAAACAAAGAGAAGUGAAAUUACAUGUCAUGAUGCAAUUGGUCAUCUACAAGCAAGUGCACUGACCUUGAAUAGGACACAUUUUAGCCCAUUUUAUGUGAUCAUCAGAAUUAUUAACCUGACCUAGUCUGAAGGAAUUAUAUAAAAAGGUUUGUUCAUAAGCAGUAUGUUUCAUGGGCAUGGCUGUCUGUGAUACCCUUCAGUGAAAUCAAAUGUUUUUGUAUGCGAUGUGUGUAGACAGUUCAUCUAUUGUCUAUGGUAAAAAUAUAUUUUUAUUUUUGAACAGUGUUUAUGGUGGGCUACUGGAGCAAGCCACUGAUGACAAACAAAAAAAACUCAUAGUGCACCUCCUAUUGCUAUCACAUUAAUGAACUUGAUCUGUGUCCCUUGAGCAUCAUACUGAUGUUCUUCAAGCAAGAGCCCACAUUGCAUGAAAGUAAAAAACCGCCAUGUGGCAGCAGCACAAAGUCAUAAUGUAGCCUGAUAUAUGCAUACUCAACUACAGCACUCUACAGUAUGCUUCCUACGUAUGACAGAAUUGUUGCCAUAUAUUUGAAAUGUUAUCAGCAAAUUAGUGUCAUAAAAACUUGUGCAUGUUUAUUUUAUAUCAGGGUUUCUUUUGUCCAAUACUUGUGUGGUUUGUCUUACUAAUAGUUGUGUGAGCAAAUGAGUCUAUACAAUACUGUAUACUACAAAACACUGUAAUACUGUUUAAUACAUUUUAUUAACAAAUUGUUGGCAAUACAUUAUAUGUAAAAGCAGAAACACAGAGGGAACAAACAUUUUAAAAUGUACUUUGAGUGUUAAAUAAAGAAGUGAAAUUACAUGUCAUGUU